rnacentral:rRNA from 1 species
GUUCGGAAUUACUGGGCGUAAAGGGCUCGUAGGUGGCCAACUAAGUCAGACGUGAAAUCCCUCGGCUUAACCGGGGAACUGCGUCUGAUACUGGAUGGCUUGAGUUCGGGAGAGGGAUGCGGAAUUCCAGGUGUAGCGGUGAAAUGCGUAGAUAUCUGGAGGAACACCGGUGGCGAAGGCGGCUCUCUAGUACGGUACUGACGCUGAGACGCGAAAGCGUGGGGAGCGAACAGG